GCUCUCAAAGGAUAGUAGACAAUCCAUUGGCCUUAGGAGCCAAAAACCCUUGGUGCAAACCCAAGUGACAGCU
rnacentral:tRNA from 1 species